rnacentral:rRNA from 1 species
GACGAACCGUGCGAACGUUGUUCGGAAUCACUGGGCUUAAAGGGCGCGUAGGCGGCCUGCCAAGUCAGGGGUGAAAGCCCCCAGCUCAACUGGGGAAGUGCCUUUGAUACUGGCGGGCUCGAGCGAGGUAGGGGUCGUGGGAACUUCCGGUGGAGCGGUGAAAUGUGUUGAUAUCAUCAGGAACUCCGGUGGCGAAGGCGGCAUGCUGGACCUUCACUGACGCUGAGGCGCGAAAGCUAGGGGAGCGAACGGG